UACGUAGGGUGCAAGCGUUGUCCGGAAUUAUUGGGCGUAAAGAGCUCGUAGGCGGUCUGUCGCGUCGGAUGUGAAAACCCGGGGCUUAACCCCGGGCCUGCAUUCGAUACGGGCAGACUCGAGUGUGGUAGGGGAGACUGGAACUCCUGGUGUAGCGGUGAAAUGCGCAGAUAUCAGGAAGAACACCGGUGGCGAAGGCGGGUCUCUGGGCCACUACUGACGCUCAUGCACGAAAGCGUGGGGAGCAAACAGG
rnacentral:rRNA from 1 species